GUUGAAGUUAAUGAAUUUCGUCAUUCAUUGUUCCUAUGUAUUUUGUUUCAUUAAUAAGAAUAUGGUGUUUUUCGCGAGAAAAUAUGUUGCAGAUGUUUUUUUUUCAUCUGCUGAAUGUUUUCUUUACAUCCUGAGUGUUUGGGGUGGUUUGGGUUUGGGAUAUUCAUUAUCCCUUGUGUGUGUUUUUUGGCGCGCGUCAAGUGCGAUUUUGAAUGGAGCUAUCGAAAGGACUACCUAUAUACCAACAGUCCAACACUACCUCCGGUGAAGGAACGAACCAUUCUAGAUGAAAAUUAUUUUACGUCGUUACAUUAUUCUGGUUUGAAGAAUUUCACGACAACGAUGGACGAUGGAUGAAACACCUAGAAGAGCAAAACACCGCUCUACUCCCUCGCACUGUUCGCUCCAGUACUCAAGUAUAGAUACAUACGUGUUUUUUCUCCCUCGAUUAAGAAAAAUAACUUUUCGGACUGAAUAAUAUGAUAUUACGUCAUCAUUCGAACGUUUUUUUUUGUUCAGAAUAUUUACAUUAAAAAAAAUAUCAGGCGUAGAAUUUUGCAAUAACAACUUUCCUCCCAGUAGAAUUUUUCUAAUUUGAAGUUUUGGUUGUAAAGUUUUCGGUGUUCUUUUGCUUUCUCUCUCCCGUUGCUUCGCUUUACUUUUUAUUUUACUUCCUCUUUCAAUUAUGCUUAAUACUUUGAAUACUUUCGGAUAAGUUUACAAGACGCGUAAAAAGCCACCGAGGAGGCAAUAUUUUAACGGAUUUGCUUGUGUUUUGUAAUUUGUGCUAAUUUUUUGUUUUUGUUUCCAGGUACCUCUACCUACCUGUUUUUUUGAGCUUAUUCUCUCGGCGGCUUAUUAUCGUUUCGUUUCUCUGGAGAGUUCAACUGUGCCGGAUUAAUGGCAGCUAAAUGAUGUAGGCAGUUGUGUCUUCGGAAAUACGCAACGAUUUCAUCUUUACAACUUCCUAUUCUAUUGGAUCAUUGGCGUCAUCGCAGCUCUCCCGCAACAAACCGAACUACAUUCGCAGCCUUCAGAGUCGUUCUAAACGAAAAGAAACAGAUGAAUAUUGGAAUUUUUUCUACGAAAGUUUUCGUCAACGAAUUUCUGGUUUCUUUGGUCAUUUUGAUAUCAACACUCGAAUACAUCGCCUUCAAUGACGAGAAGUUUGCAACUGCGACGGAUUUAAUUUUUAACCAGGGAAAGCUCCAUUGCCAAAUAGAUAUCGAUAAAGUUGAAAAAGAUGAAAUGUUUUCAAGUCGCGGCUUUUUAUUGGUGGAUUACGAAUAUCUUCAAAGAUUCGUGUGCGGAUUGCAACGGUCUGAAGUCUGAAUUCGUCGCAUAUACUCGUAAUUUCAAGACUACUCAAUGAAAACUUUGCAUGUUCAUCUGUUGAGUUUCCAUUUCAUUCGACGAUCGGAAUUCAUAAUUAUUAUUUCAAGAUGUGACCUGUAGAACUGCAAUCGUCGAGUUAAUAAUGUUAAGAAUCGCGGUCUGUACUUGAUAUUUCGAUUCCGUUUAGUAAUUAGUUCGCGCGUGACUUUUUUUUUCAUUUUUUUUUUUCGUAAAAUGUUGUUCGCUAACAACAUUACUAUCGCUCUUCAAAAGCCGGGGUAAGUGUUUCAAAAGCCAUGUUUGAGUAGUUUGGUGAUGGGGUGGUGGUGAGACGUCGUUAUUUCUCUUUGGCCAUUAUGGUGUAGGUUUUUCGUCAUGCUUUUUUAUUUACCCACAUUCGUAUAUCUAGAUGAAUUGCGAAUUUUUUAUCAAAUGGAAUAAUACCGAUUGAUCAAGCGGAUCAGGAAAAAUUUACUUUCUUGUAUCGAUGCUGCAAUUGGCACAAAAAUAUAUAAAGUUUUUUAGAUUAUUUAUUGAAUAAUAAGAGUAUAUUAUGGAUGAAUAAAUUCUCGAUUGUAAGUAAACCAAUUGAUCAAGCGGAUCUGGGAGAACGCACAGUCCCUUAUCGAUGCUGCAAUUGGUCUCUAAAUUUAAUUUUUUGACGAGUGCCCUAGUGCAUUGAACAUCUAGAUUUUUGCUGCUUGGGGUAUAUUUUAAGUAGGUAGGUAAUAGGUAUGCUUGGCGACUGGCUGUAUCAAGUACGCUUGAUUUUAGACAUCUUCCAAGCGGAGUUUUGAAAUCCUAAAUGUUAAUUGGUCAAAAAGUGAGUUUUUCUGUUUUCAUCCAGCUGAAUAAUAUCAAUUGGUCAACAUUGAUAUUAUACUAUUUUAGAGU